rnacentral:rRNA from 1 species
UACGUAGGGAGCAAGCGUUGUCCGGAAUCAUUGGGCGUAAAGCGCGCGUAGGUGGCCACAUAAGUCCGUUGUGAAAGUCAAAGGCUCAACCUUUGAAAGCCGAUGGAUACUGUGUGGCUAGAGUACGGAAGAGGCGAGUGGAAUUCCUGGUGUAGCGGUGGAAUGCGUAGAUAUCUGGAGGAACACCGGUGGCGAAGGCGGCAUCCUGGACCAAUACCGACGCUGAGGAGCGAAAGCCAGGGGAGCAAACGGG